AAGUCGUAACAAGGUUUCCGUAGGUGAACCUGCGGAAGGAUCAUUAAAGAGUUGUCCUGCGCCCCUCUGGGGAUGAGGUCUACGGGUGAGGCUCGGAGUUAAACCCCCGGGGUCCCCGUCUCUUCCACCCUGUGUAUACCUUCCACGUUGCUUUGGCGGGCCUGGGUACGUCCUUCUGGGCACCCUGCCGGCGUCGGACUUCGUCCCCGCCGGCGAGCGCCCCGCAGCUACCCUAUCCAUCGUUUUUUUUCAAUGUCGUCUGAGCAAAAACACAAAAUAAAAUAAAA
rnacentral:misc_RNA from 1 species